UCCUCCUUGUGCCCUCUUUCCUCGGCCUUACUGGGCGUAAAGCGUGCGCCUGCGGUUCGGAAAGAAAGAUGUGAAAUCCCAGAGCUUAACUUUGGAACUGCAUUUUUAACUACCGAGCUAGAGUGUGUCAGAGGGAGGUGGAAUUCCGCGUGUAGCAGUGAAAUGCGUAGAUAUGCGGAGGAACACCGAUGGCGAAGGCAGCCUCCUGGGAUAACACUGACGCUCAUGCACGAAAGCGUGGGGAGCAAACAGG
rnacentral:rRNA from 1 species